UUGAACGCUGGCGGCCGGCCUAACACAUGCAAGUCGAGCGGAUGAAGGGAGCUUGCUCCUGGAUUCAGCGGCGGACGGGUGAGUAAUGCCUAGGAAUCUGCCUGGUAGUGGGGGAUAACGUCCGGAAACGGGCGCUAAUACCGCAUACGUCCUGAGGGAGAAAGUGGGGGAUCUUCGGACCUCACGCUAUCAGAUGAGCCUAGGUCGGAUUAGCUAGUUGGUGGGGUAAAGGCCUACCAAGGCGACGAUCCGUAACUGGUCUGAGAGGAUGAUCAGUCACACUGGAACUGAGACACGGUCCAGACUCCUACGGGAGGCAGCAGUGGGGAAUAUUGGACAAUGGGCGAAAGACUGAUCCAGCCAUGCCGCGUGUGUGAAGAAGGUCUUCGGAUUGUAAAGCACUUUAAGUUGGGAGGAAGGGCAGUAAGUUAAUACCUUGCUGUUUUGACGUUACCAACAGAAUAAGCACCGGCUAACUUCGUG
rnacentral:rRNA from 1 species